rnacentral:rRNA from 1 species
GAUGAACGCUGGCGGCGUGCCUAAUACAUGCAAGUCGAGCGAAUGGAUUAAGAGCUUGCUCUUAUGAAGUUAGCGGCGGACGGGUGAGUAACACGUGGGUAACCUGCCCAUAAGACUGGGAUAACUCCGGGAAACCGGGGUUAAUACCGGAUAAUAUUUUGAACUGCAUGGUUCAAAAUUGAAAGGCGGCUUCGGCUGUCACUUAUGGAUCUACCCGCGUCGCAUUAGCUAGUUGGUGAGGUAACGGCUCACCAAGGAAAAGAUGCGUAGCCGACCUGAGAGGGUGAUCGGCCACACUGGGACUGAGACACGGCCCAGACUCCUACGGGAGGCAGCAGUAGGGAAUCUUCCGCAAUGGACGAAAGUCUGACGGAGCAACGCCGCGUGAGUGAUGAAGGCUUUCGGGUCGUAAAACUCUGUUGUUAGGGAAGAACAAGUGCUAGUUGAAUAAGCUGGCACCUUGACGGUACCUAACCAGAAAGCCACGGCUAACUACGUGCCAGCCGCCGCAGUAA